CAUGCCGCGUGUGUGAAGAAGGCCUUAUGGUUGUAAAGCACUUUAGCGAGGAGGAGCUACUUAAGUAAUACCUAUAGAUAUGGACGUUACUCGCAGAAUAAGCACCGGCUAACUCUGUGCCAGCAGCCGCGGUAAUACAGAGGGUGCGAGCGUUAAUCGGAUUUACUGGGCGUAAAGCGUGCGUAGGCGGCUUAUUAAGUCGGAUGUGAAAUCCCCGAGCUUAACUUGGGAAUUGCAUUCGAUACUGGUGAGCUAGAGUAUGGGAGAGGAUGGUAGAAUUCCAGGUGUAGCGGUGAAAUGCGUAGAGAUCUGGAGGAAUACCGAUGGCGAAGGCAGCCAUCUGGCCUAAUACUGACGCUGAGGUACGAAAGCAUGGGGAGCAAACAGGAUUAGAUACCCUGGUAGUCCAUGCCGUAAACGAUGUCUACUAGCCGUUGGGGCCUUUGAGGCUUUAGUGGCGCAGCUAACGCGAUAAGUAGACCGCCUGGGGAGUACG
rnacentral:rRNA from 1 species